GUGCUCGCUUUGGCAGCACAUUUACUAAAAUUGGAACGAUACAGGGAAGAUUAGCAUGGUCCCUGUGUGAGGAUGACACACAAAUUCGUGAAGUAUUCUAUAUAUAC
rnacentral:snRNA from 1 species